UACGUAGGGUGCAAGCGUUGUCCGGAAUUAUUGGGCGUAAAGAGCUCGUAGGCGGUUUGUUGCGUCGGCUGUGAAAUCCCGAGGCUCAACCUCGGGUCUGCAGUCGAUACGAGCAAACUAGAGUGUUGCAGGGGAGACUGGAAUUCCUGGUGUAGCGGUGAAAUGCGCAGAUAUCAGGAGGAACACCGGUGGCGAAGGCGGCUCUCUGGGUCUGUCCUGACGCUCAGGCGCGAAAGCUAGGGGAGCAAACAGG
rnacentral:rRNA from 1 species